UGGAUUCUGGUGCGGCUGACAACGGCAAUAACGGUGAGUCGUUUAACACCGCUGCUUGAAUCGUUAUAUAAUAUUCGUCUCAUUAACUUACAGGCGGAGACAAGUUAACGAACUAGAUCCUGCACAGCAUAUGGCAGUCGGGAUCCUCCGUUGCUGUUUCUAAAUAAACCGUUACUUGCGAGGCUGUCGUUAUACACACACAAUCGGGAAAGAAAGAGCGAUAUCGGAACGCGCGCCUCAUUUUUCAUCUUAUUGUAGCCGUGGCCAUAGGUGACUGGGUAGCCUUAACAAUAUACAUAUAAAACUUAUUUUCGAGUCCGCCGGCAAUUUUUUUCGUCCACAAAAUCGAAUAAUCCUUUGGUAAAAUGAUGUGAAAGUACAGAAUUUAAUGUAUUAAACAGUUGCAAGCGUGAUAAUUCACUCAUAUUUCGUACUUGUUGGUUCCAAAUGUUCUUGCUGUUCAGUUUGGUCUACCGUAGGGCAUUUAUUUUUGCAGUAGUGCAGCAGUGCAUCACGUUCGUGCAGAAAAAUAAUGCAUCAGUUCUAAUAGCUUCAUGACUUUCAUGUAUUUGCUUGUGGAACCAGCAGUGUGAUCUCUUCCAGUGUAUAAAUGAACGCACAAAUGUUCUCAUUUGUGAUAUUAAUAAUACUUAAACUGUUUACAUGCAUUGUAUAGUUAGGCAGGCAUAAAUUUAUGGACAAUAGCAAUAUUUAUUUAACGUGCUGUUUAAGCGCCCUAGAAGAGACAGGGUAUAUUUGCAUGUGUUCUGUAGUCGCAAACCAUUACAAUAUAUAUGUCACACCUUUUUGCAUUUCAUAUUGCAAAAUUGUGCUUUUUUCAAUUUCUGAUUCAGUCAAAAUUUCUGUUCCAGACAUGCAGUAAUGAGGAUGGCACCAGCAUAAAGCAACACACUCCACACUCUAAACAGAAGCUGCUACCUACUACAACAAGGCCAUUGUGUGGACAUUGGCUGCUACUACAAGAGUCCAUGCCAAGCAUACCUUGGUCAUCACAGGAGCUCCUAUCCACACCAACAGAAAGGGGCUGGAGCUGAAUUUGCAAGGCUUUUACACCACGAACAAAGAAGCGCAUGCAGAAGAAUUUACAUGAGAUAUCAAGUCUGCAGAGCACUGUGUCAAGACUGAAAAGAGCUUCAGCCACCAUUCCACCAGCGCGGACAAAUUGGCUGAGUCAUCCAGGUAACUCAAAAAGGACUUUAUGGAAAUUCUUCGUCUUCAGAUGCGCCUGCAACUUCUGAUCAAGCACGGAUGAUGCUGGCCAAAAGAGUUCCAUUAGUUUGCCCUUAAUCAGCUUCCUGGCCAUGUCAAUUCCAUUUGUGCCAAGUGUAAUUUUUUUUCUAUAAAUGCAAGCUUUUUCAUUGCCCAUUCUCGUUAGAGAUCAUUCAUCCUCAUCCAAACAUAAAGGUCAACCGAUUCUUCGCUGAUACUUAAUACCAGUCACUGUCUAGUAGCAUAACAUAUCUGUAGCAGUACCUUUUAGUGCAUGUUGUCAUGCACAAUUCCUCUCCUGAAAUAGCUGAUGCAACAUCGACAUGUUUCUUGCAUUAACCUACGCACUGUUUGCUAUGCACCAUUUUACUUUUCUUCAUGUUUUUGGCCUUCAAUGCUUGCAGAGCAGGGUGGCUUCUCUCUUGAAUGCAAGCUUUCUCAUUUUCCAUAUUCCUAGUCUUGUUGAUGGUUGCUCUUCUUCCUCGAUAGCCUGGGUCUUUGCGCAAGCUGCACUGAAUGAUGGAUUGCAGAAUCUAGUUUUGCUGCCCCACUUGGUUGUGGUCGCCGUGUUACAUUUCUCGGAUGUGGGGGCCUGCUCAGUUACAUUGGUAAGCAGUCUCUCGAGGUAAGCAUUUGCUCCUGCAGUCCGCACAGCGACAUAGACUCCCAGUGUACACACACCAUAACUGGUGCUCCCCGUUCAUUUUUUCCUGCUGCAGCCAUGGGCAAAUUGUGCUUGUGGCCUACCUUGGCCAUGAUUUGCUCAAAACUGAGACCAGCAUAUGUGCUUACAUGGUUCAAAGUGUAUGAAGUUGAUAGCCGUACUGGGGGAAAUGCCUGCAAAAAUGGCUGCCAAAGGUGAUGCCCACGAAAGCGACUUGUCCAUAUUGAGACAAAGUGGGACGCCAAAUGUGAGGCACACAUUAGUGGCCCUCGACAGAAAAGAAACAUGCAGGUUGGAAAGGAGUUAACGCUAAAAUGCCGGAUAGUCCAUUUCGCUGUGUUGGUUGUGGCAGCAGAUGCCUGCAUCACCUGAUUUCUUCGCAAUGGAAGUUGCUCAUCUUCAACGGCUACUGUCGUUUCAAACAGGUGCGACGCUCUGUCCAAUCUGUUUGUACUGCUGUUUGUCGCUCGUUACCAGACCACCACAUGUGACGAAGGCAAGCAUUAUGCCUGUAAGUAGGCGGCUGAAUGAAUCCUAAGAGACCCGUGUAUGUGAAUGCUCACUGUUGCCAUAUGGUUUGUAGCCAAUGUAUAAUGUAUUCUCUGAACACUAUGUUGUGAAUGAUUGCCGUUUAUUUUUGCUGUUAUCUCACUUGGUUACGGUCGCCGUAUUAUGCUUAUUGGAUGUGGGGGCCUGGUCAGUUGCAUUGGAAAACAGUCUCUCGAGGUAAGCAUUUGCUCCUGCAGUCCGCACAGCGACAUAGACUCCCAAUUUACACACCAUGAUUCGUGCUCCCCGUUCAGCCUUUCCUGCUGCAGCCAUGUGCAAAUUGUGCCUGUGGCCUUUCUCAGUCGCAAUUAAGCACGAACGGAGGCAAGCAUACGUGCUUACAUGGUCCAACGUGUUUGAAGUUCAUAGCCACAUGGUGGAAAGGCCCGCAUAAAUGGCUGCCGAAGGUGAUGCCCACGAAAGCGACUUGUCCAUAUUGAGACAAAGUGGGACGCCAAAUGUGAGCCACACAUUAGUGGCCCUCGACAGAAAAGAAACAUGCAGGUUGGAAAGGAGUUAACGCUAAAAUGCCGGAUAGUCCAUUUCGCUGUGUUGGUUGUGGCAGCAGAUGCCUGCAUCACCCGAUUUCUUCGCAAUGGAAGUUGCUCAUCUUCAACGGCAACUGUUGGUUCAAACAGGUGCGACGCUCUGUCCAAUCUGUUUGUACUGCUGUUUGUCGCUCGUUACCAGACCACCACAUGCGACGAAGGCAAGCAUUAUGCCUGUAAGUAGGCGGCUGAAUGUAUCCUAAGAGACCCGUGUAUGUGAAUGCUCACUGUUGCCAUAUGGUUUGUAGCCAAUGUAUAACGUAUUCUCUGAACACUAUGUGGUGAAUGAUUGCCGUUUAUUUUUGCUGUUAUCUCACUUGGUUACGGUCGCCGUGUUAUGCUUAUCGGAUGUGGCGGCCUGGUCAGUUGCACUGGAAAGCAGUUUCUCGAAGUAAGCAUUUGCUCCUGCAAUCUGCACAGCGACAUAUUUAGACUCCCAAUUUACACACCGUGAUUCGUGCUCCCCGUUCACGUUCAGCCUUUCCUGCUGCAGCCAUGGGCAAAUUGUGCCUGUUGCCUUUCUCGGCCGCGAUUAAGCACGAACGGAGAGCGGCAUACGUGCUUACAUGGUCCGACGUGUGUGAAGUUGGGUGCAAAGGCCCGCAAAAGUGGCUGAUGGAGGUGAUGCCCACGAAAGCGACUUGUCCAUAUUGAGACAAUGUGGGACACCAAGUGCGAGCCACACAUUAGCGGCCUCCGAAAGAAAAGUAACGUGCAGGUUGGAAAGGAGUUAAGGCUAAAAUGCCGGGUAGUCCAUGUCGCUGUGUUGGCUGCGGCAGCAGAUGCCUGGUUCACCCGAUUGUUUCGCAGUGCAAGUUGCUCAUCUUUGACGGCGACUGCCGCUGCAAACAGGCGGGACACUGACCAAUCUGCAUGAGCCGCUGGUUGUCGCUCGUUACUAGACCGCCAUGUGUGACGACGACGGUGAGCCGUUUACGAGCUCGCGUCAAAGAUUCCAGUGUAUCUCGACAUACAAAUUUUAUUUGUGCUAUUGCACGAGAAUGUACAUACACUGCUUGUCUUCUGCCAAUAAAGUCGCACGUUCUGUUCA